GCGAGAGUAGUUCAAUGGUUAGAACGUCGGGUUGUGGCUCCGAAGACGAGGGUUCAAUUCCCUUCUCCCGCC
rnacentral:tRNA from 1 species